rnacentral:tRNA from 1 species
GCAGAGGUGGUUUAGUAGUAGAAUUCUUGCCUUCCAUCCAGGAGGCCUGGGUUUCAUUCCUGGUCAAUGCA